rnacentral:rRNA from 1 species
AGUAACGGCGAGUGAAGCGGUAACAGCUCAAAUUUGAAAUCUGGCUCCCUGUGGAGUCCGAGUUGUAAUUUGUAGAAGAUGCUUUGGGUGCACGAUCCGGCCUAAGUGCCUUGGAACAGGACGUCGUAGAGGGUGAGAAUCCCGUAUGCGGCCGGUUUCGACGCCCGUGUAAAGCUCUUUCGACGAGUCGAGUUGUUUGGGAAUGCAGCUCAAAAUGGGUGGUAAAUUUCAUCUAAAGCUAAAUAUGGGCCAGAGACCGAUAGCGCACAAGUAGAGUGAUCGAAAGAUGAAAAGCACUUUGGAAAGAGAGUUAAACAGUACGUGAAAUUGUUGAAAGGGAAGCGCUUGCAACCAGACUUGGGCGUCGCUGAUCAUCCAAAGUUCUCUUUGGUGCACUCGACGAUGCACAGGCCAGCAUCGGUUGGGGUGGUGGGAGAAAGACUGCAGGAACGUAGCUCUUUUCGGAGAGUGUUAUAGCCUGCGGUGCAAUACCGCCUACCUCGACCGAGGACCGCGCUUCGGCUAGGAUGCUGGCGUAAUGGUUGUAAGCGACCCGUCUUGAAACACGGACCAAGGAGUCUAACAUCUAUGCGAGUGUUUGGGUGCGAAACCCAUGCGCGAAAUGAAAGUGAACGCAGGUGAGAACCCUUUAAGGGGGCAUCAUCGACCGAUCCUGAUGUCUUCGGAUGGAUUUGAGUAAGAGCAUAGCUGUUGGGA